CUUGGAGACCGGGCCUUCAUCACAUUGGAGCGCAGAGCAGCCCUACUCGAGGUGGUGUGAGGAAGAUAACAGCCGGGAGAGAUUUCUCAGCCCAAGCUGAUUGACAGGUGAAUUAAUUACCUCUACCGGUCCCCCACCACGGCAGAAAAAUGAUUGCAGUAUUCACAUUAUAAUCAAUUCCAGAUCAAGGCCUUUGAAGAACCAUAAUGGAGCUAAUGUAUCAGUGGAAAUGUG